GGGUGAGUAACACGUAGGCAACCUGCCCAAAAGAGGGGGAUAACACUUGGAAACAGGUGCUAAUACCGCAUAACCAUGAACACCGCAUGAUGUUCAUGUAAAAGACGGCUUUUGCUGUCACUUUUGGAUGGGCCUGCGGCGUAUUAACUUGUUGGUGGGGUAACGGCCUACCAAGGUGAUGAUACAUAGCCGAACUGAGAGGUUGAUCGGCCACAUUGGGACUGAGACACGGCCCAAACUCCUACGGGAGGCAGCAGUAGGGAAUCUUCCACAAUGGACGCAAGUCUGAUGGAGCAACGCCGCGUGAAUGAAGAAGGCCUUCGGGUCGUAAAAUUCUGUUGUCAGAGAAGAACGUGCGUGAGAGUAACUGUUCACGUAUUGACGGUAUCUGACCAGAAAGCCACGGCUAACUACGUGCCAGCAGCCGCGGUAAUACGUAGGUGGCGAGCGUUGUCCGGAUUUAUUGGGCGUAAAGGGAACGCAGGCGGUCCUUUAAGUCUGAUGUGAAAGCCUUCGGCUUAACCGAAGUAGUGCUUUGGAAACUGGAAGACUUGAGUGCAGAAGAGGAGAGUGGAACUCCAUGUGUAGCGGUGAAAUGCGUAGAUAUAUGGAGGAACACCAGUGGCGAAAGCGGCUCUCUGGUCUGUACUGACGCUGAGGUUCGAAAGCGUGGGUAGCAAACAGGAUUAGAUACCCUGGUAGUCCACGCCGUAAACGAUGAGUGCUAAGUGUUGGAGGGUUUCCGCCCUUCAGUGCCGCAG
rnacentral:rRNA from 1 species